rnacentral:rRNA from 1 species
UACGUAGGGUGCAAGCGUUGUCCGGAAUUAUUGGGCGUAAAGAGCUCGUAGGCGGUCCGUCACGUCGGCUGUGAAAACCUGGGGCUCAACCCCGGGCCUGCAGCCGAUACGGGCGGACUAGAAUUCGGUAGGGGAGACUGGAAAUUCCUGGUGUAGCGGUGAAAUGCGCAGAUAUCAGGAGGAACACCGGUGGCGAAGGCGGGUCUCUGGGCAGUAACUGACGCUGAGGAGCGAAAGCGUGGGGAGCGAACAGG